rnacentral:tRNA from 1 species
GCGGUUAUGGUGAAGCUGGCUAACACGCCUGACUGUGACUCAGGUAUUCACGGGUUCGAGCCCCGUUAAUCGCCCCA